rnacentral:rRNA from 1 species
AGCGAACGCUGGCGGCAGGCCUAACACAUGCAAGUCGAACGAAGCCUUCGGGCUUAGUGGCGGACGGGUGAGUAACACGUGGGAGCGUACCUUUUGGUUCGGAACAACUCAGGGAAACUUGAGCUAAUACCGGAUGAGCCCUUAGGGGGAAAGAUUUAUCGCCGAAAGAGCGGCCCGCGUUAGAUUAGCUAGUUGGUGAGGUAAAGGCUCACCAAGGCUACGAUCUAUAGCUGGUCUGAGAGGAUGAUCAGCCACACUGGGACUGGGACACGGCCCAGACUCCUACGGGAGGCAGCAGUGGGGAAUCUUGCGCAAUGGGCGAAAGCCUGACGCAGCCAUGCCGCGUGAAUGAUGAAGGUCUUAGGAUUGUAAAAUUCUUUUACCAGGGACGAUAAUGACGGUACCUGGAGAAAAAGCCCCGGCUAACUUCGUGCUAGCAGCAGCCGCGGUAA